AUGACGAGGCACUACGGUGCUGAAGCGACAAAUGCCCUGCUUCCAGGAAAAGCCUCUAAGCAUCAGGUAACAUCAAAUCGUACCCCAAACCGACACAGGUGGUCAGGUAGAGAAUACCAAGGCGCUUGAGAGAACUCGGGUGAAGGAACUAGGCAAAAUGGUGCCGUAACUUCGGGAGAAGGCACGCUGAUAUGUAGGUGAAGCGACUUGCUCGUGGAGCUGAAAUCAGUCGAAGAUACCAGCUGGCUGCAACUGUUUAUUAAAAACACAGCACUGUGCAAACACGAAAGUGGACGUAUACGGUGUGACGCCUGCCCGGUGCCGGAAG
rnacentral:rRNA from 1 species